rnacentral:rRNA from 1 species
CAGCCGCCACGGUAAUACGAAGGGUGCAAGCGUUACUCGGAAUUACUGGGCGUAAAGCGUGCGUAGGUGGUGGUUUAAGUCCGUUGUGAAAGCCCUGGGCUCAACCUGGGAAUUGCAGUGGAUACUGGGUCACUAGAGCGUGGUAGAGGAUAGUGGAAUUUCCGGUGUAGCAGUGAAAUGCGUGGAGAUCAAGAGGAACACUCGUGGCGAAAGCGAGCUACUGGACAAUAUCUGACGCUGAGGCUCGAAGGCCAGGGUAGCGAAAGGGAUUAGAUACCCCCGUAGUCCCUGUCUCUUAUAC